rnacentral:piRNA from 1 species
UCGAAAUUUCAAAAACAUUAG